UUAAGUUGCCGACCUCUCCGACUCACCCACUAGGUCUAUUCAGGCAUAUGUAGGCAAGAAAAGAGAAUAGAUAGUAACCAGCUAUACAUGUAACUACUACAAUGCCUGUACAAAGCUGAAAGUGUAAUACACGUAUCUAAUUAAUUUAAAUUAGAAUUUAAAUAUGUGGCCAUGAUUGUAGUUUUGUGAUAAACCCGUUAUUAAAUAUUUUUGAUUUAUUUGUACCGUUGGAUUAAGCGGAUUCGGUUGGAUUUGAUUUUCGGAUUAAUUAUACUCUAAUACUAGUUAGAGUAGGAUU
rnacentral:lncRNA from 1 species